rnacentral:rRNA from 1 species
UUGACGGGGACCCGCACAAGCGUGGAUGAUGUGGUUUAAUUCGAUGCAACGCGAAAACCUUACCACCUUUGACAUGUACGGAAUCCUUUAGAGAUAGAGGAGUGCUCGAAAGAGAGCCGUAACACAGGUGCUGCAUGGCUGUCGUCAGCUCGUGUCGUGAGAUGUUGGGUUAAGUCCCGCAACGAGCGCAACCCUUGUCAUUAGUUGCCAUCAUUUGUUGGGCACUCUAAUGAGACUGCCGGUGACAAACCGGAGGAAGGUGGGGAUGACGUCAAGUCCUCAUGGCCCUUAUGGGUAGGGCUUCACACGUCAUACAAUGGUCGGUACAGAGGGUUGCCAACCCGCGAGGGGGAGCUAAUCCCACAAAGCCGAUCGUAGUCCGGAUCGCAGUCUGCAACUCGACUGCGUGAAGUCGGAAUCGCUAGUAAUCGUGGAUCAGCAUGUCACGGUGAAUACGUUCCCGGGUCUU